AUACGUAGGUGACAAGCGUUAUCCGGAUUUACUGGGCGUAAAGGGCGUGUAGGCGGUCUUGCAAGUCAGAAGUGAAAUUCCUGAGCUCAACUCGGGCGCUGCUUCUGAAACUGCAGGACUUGAGUGCUGGAGGGGAUAGCGGAAUUCCUAGUGGAGCGGUAAAAUGCGCAGAUAUUAGGAAGAACACCGGUGGCGAAGGCGGCUAUCUGGAAAGUAACUGACGCUGAGGCGCGAAAGCGUGGGGAGAAAAAAGGAUUAGAUACCCUGGUGGUCCACGCCGUAAACGAUGAAUACUAGGUGUAGGGGGUAUCGACUCCCUCUGUGCCGCAGUUAACACAAUAAGUAUUCCGCCUGGGGAGUACGGCCGCAAGGUUGAAACUCAAAUGAAUUGACGGGG
rnacentral:rRNA from 1 species